rnacentral:rRNA from 1 species
CCUACGGGUGGCAGCAGUGAGGAAUAUUGGUCAAUGGGCGCGAGCCUGAACCAGCCAAGUAGCGUGAAGGAUGACUGCCCUACGGGUUGUAAACUUCUUUUAUAAAGGAAUAAAGUGAGGCACGUGUGCCUUUUUGUAUGUACCUUAUGAAUAAGGAUCGGCUAACUCCGUGCCAGCAGCCGCGGUAAUACGGAGGGUCCGAGCGUUAUCCGGAUUUAUUGGGUUUAAAGGGUGCGUAGGUGGGUUGUUAAGUCAGUUGUGAAAGUUUGGGGCUCAACCGUAAAAUUGCAUUUGAUACUGGCAGUCUUGAGUGCAGUUGAGGUAGGCGGAAUUCGUGGUGUAGCGGUGAAAUGCUUAGAUAUCACGAAGAACACCGAUUGCGAAGGCAGCUUACUAGACUGCAACUGACGUUGAUGCACGAAAGUGUGGGUAUCAAACAGGAUUAGAUACCCUUGUAGUC